GAUGAACGCUGGCGGCGUGCCUAAUACAUGCAAGUCGAGCGAACAGACGAGGAGCUUGCUCCUCUGACGUUAGCGGCGGACGGGUGAGUAACACGUGGAUAACCUACCUAUAAGACUGGGAUAACUUCGGGAAACCGGAGCUAAUACCGGAUAAUAUAUUUAACCGCAUGGUUCAAUAGUGAAAGACGGUUUUGCUGUCACUUAUAGAUGGAUCCGCGCCUAAUUAGCUAGUUGGUAAGGUAACGGCUUCCCAAGGCAACGAUGCGUAGCCGACCUGAGAGGGGGACAGGCCACACGGGACCUGAGACACGGUCCAGACUCCUACGGGAGGCAGCAGUAGGGAAUCUUCCGAAAUGGGCGAAAGCUUGACGGAGAAACGCCGCGUGAGUGAUGAAGGUCUUCGGAUCGUAAAACUCUGUUAUUAGGGAAGAACAAAUGUGUAAGUAACUAUGCACGUAUUGACGGUACCUAAUCAGAAAGCCACGGCUAACUACGUG
rnacentral:rRNA from 1 species